rnacentral:rRNA from 1 species
UGAGGAAUAUUGGUCAAUGGGCGCAAGCCUGAACCAGCCAUCCCGCGUGCAGGAAGACGGCGCUAUGCGUUGUAAACUGCUUUUCCAGGGAGAGAAACUUGCGCACGUGUUGCGCAAUUGACGGUACCCUGGGAAUAAGCAUCGGCUAACUCCGUGCCAGCAGCCGCGGUCAUACGGAGGAUGCGAGCGUUAUCCGGAUUCAUUGGGUUUAAAGGGUGCGUAGGCGGACUAUUAAGUCAGUGGUGAAAUCCUGCAGCUUAACUGCAGAACUGCCAAUGAUACUGAUAGCCUUGAGUUUGGUUAAGGUAGGCGAAAUGUGUAAUGUAGCGGUGAAAUGCUUAGAUAUUACACAGAACACCAAUUGCGUAGGCAGCUUACUGAGCCGACACUGACGCUGAGGCACGAAAGCGUGGGGAUCGAACAG